rnacentral:rRNA from 1 species
AUGAACGCUGGCGGCGUGCUUAACACCUGCAAGUCGCACGAAGCAUUUAGGACAGAUUACUUCGGUUUGAAGUUCUUUAUGACUGAGUGGCGGACGGGUGAGUAACGCGUGGGUAACCUGCCUUGUACUGGGGGAUAGCAGCUGGAAACGGCUGGUAAUACCGCAUAAGCGCACAAUGUUGCAUGACAUGGUGUGAAAAACUCCGGUGGUAUAAGAUGGACCCGCGUCUGAUUAGCUAGUUGGUGAGAUAACAGCCCACCAAGGCGACGAUCAGUAGCCGACCUGAGAGGGUGACCGGCCACAUUGGGACUGAGACACGGCCCAGACUCCUACGGGAGGCAGCAGUGGGGAAUAUUGCACAAUGGAGGAAACUCUGAUGCAGCGACGCCGCGUGAGUGAAGAAGUAAUUCGUUAUGUAAAGCUCUAUCAGCAGGGAAGAUAGUGACGGUACCUGACUAAGAAGCUCCGGCUAAAUACGUG